AGAGCACUCUCCAAGGCGGAGGUCUGCAGCCCAACAGUCGACGCGUCUCCGCGGUGGACCCCCCAGCGAUCAGGUGCGCAUCACACCGUACCUGAUUAUCACGACACUGUUGCUGAUGGGAGUAGGUCUCGUCUUAUACCACCUCUACAGUGACGCCACCGGCUCAAGAUGGCGGUUUGCUUACUAGCGGCGACUCAAAAAAGUACUUUUCAGUAUAGGGACGUCCAGGAUCCGUGCUGGCAGAAAAGGCACGUGUUCCUCGGCCCGAACCGUCACUGUGUGCGGUGCAGGAUGCGGCGUCGUGUUGAUUUGCUGUGCUUCAUCUUUUGUGCGGGAUACAUGCCGUCUGCCACCAAAAGAGUGGUCUG